CUCAUUGUGAGGUUGGAAGUGACAAGUGUCUUCGGCACUCACAUCUAUCUCUGGGCGAGGUCUGAGGUCCUGCAAAAACACAGGGCAUGAAGAAGCAUGAGGCCAGAGUAUGAUGUAGACCAGAAAGAUAUUUUAUUGUUACCUUAUACAAGAAAUAUGGACAUAAAAUUUAAUGUCUGAUGAGGAUCACCAAAAAUACAGCUUUUACCUAGUCUGCUAGAUAGGGAUUUGUAUUUAUGAAUUUUUAUUGUGUUUAUAGCAUUUUCAUCUCCUUCACUCAUUUAUCUUUCUCCAUCAGGUUUCCUCUUUUCUUCAACAGCAUUUGACUACAUGCCCUAUCAAGAGAGAAAAGUGCGAAGGAAUAUUAGUUUAACAAAGCCAAAUAAAAAAUAAGUUUUGCGACUGUUUCUACAUUAUAGUACAGCUUAUUUGUAUCUCAGUUGUUCCUAAAUCUGACUUUCAUAGUGAAUAUUGUUAUUGAGAGCUGGGUAUAUCCUUGAGACAAUUCUCCUGAAAGCAGUGGAUUUUGGAGAUGCAGGUCUGAAACCUAUGGUUUAGCUUUCUUCUGUAAUCUCAGUAAUAGCCUUCUAAGUUUGACAGUGUACUUUUUCCAACUGCCUGUCCAGAAAGUGACCAAAAGGUAUGGUCUGGACAGCUAAUAUGAAAAAAAAAAAUCACUAUCUUAAAAGAGACUACAUUUUAUUUUCACUAAGCAGCUUAUUAGAGGAAGACGAGAUGACAAAUGAGCAGCAUGGAGGAAGGAAGGCCAGGCUGUGCAAUGGUCAGCUAAAUCCCUCCCAUGCUGUGGCAAACACCUGAGAGGAAAUACCACAGCAUGAAGAAACAGUAAAUCUCCUUCAACUUCUCAUUCAGAAAAUAUACUCAGUGCUUCCCUUCUGAUGGUUGUCAGCUGGAUAAGGCUACUGGAUAAUUGAAUUUAUAGCUUUGGAAAAAAAAAUCCAAUCUAUUUAGGCACAGUAGGGUUCCUUUUCAGAAAGCAAACAAACAAACUGACACUAAUGCAAGCAGCAGGAUGCCUCCUAAGAGCCUUCUCAGUGAUAAUCCUCUGGACUGAGGUGAGUCUGAGAGUGGGUCUGUGUGUGGGGUGAAUGGGCAUCAGGCUGGGAAUGAAGCAGCGCCUUGUCCUGCAGAUCUGGCUCGUCCUCGACACUGCUCCUUGUAGCUGACUCUGAAACACCCCAUGAGCACAUUUGCUGCGUAUGAUGCCAGCAAGUCAUAGUAACCUACAGCAGUUACCUUGCAAAAAACUUACAGGACUCUGAUCAAGGGUCUCUCAAAUUCCUCUUUACCUUUAUGGGCAUGUGUUCAGGAUCUUGAUUUGGACUGAUGAAGCUGGCCAACAGUGUCUUUAGACCUCCCCUGGCACAGCUUGAGGCCAUUUCCUCUUGUCCUGUCACUUGCUACUUGUGAGAAGAGACCAACAUCCUCCAUGCUACAACCUCCUUUCAGGUAGUUGUAAACAGCGAUAAGGUCUCCCCUCAGCCUUCUUUUUUCCAGGCUGAACAGCCCCAGUUCCCUCAACUGCUCCUCAUUAGACUUUUGCUUCAGACCUCUCACCAGCUUUAUUACAAUGAGACACAGAAAAGCUCCAUUAUUUUCUAGCUGAUUUAGUACUGUGUAUUUUUCCUUCAGUGAACACGAAGCAUUAACAGCAGAAGCCAGUGGCCAGUUUAGCUGUAAGAGGCUGAGUCCUGGGAACUUCUGCCCUUUGAUCAUCACCACCCCACCAAGUGCCUGGCAGGUCCCAUGGUGGUGGCCAAAGGAACACGGGGCUGCUCCUGCUCACAGUGCAGCUGAGCCAGAGCUCGCCCCAGUGUAGCCU